rnacentral:rRNA from 1 species
UACGAAGGGUGCAAGCGUUACUCGGAAUUACUGGGCGUAAAGCGUGCGUAGGCGGUUUGUUAAGUCCGCUGUGAAAGCCCUGGGCUCAACCUGGGAAUUGCAGUGGAUACUGGCAAGCUAGAGUGCGGUAGAGGAUGGUGGAAUUCCCGGUGUAGCGGUGAAAUGCGUAGAGAUCGGGAGGAACACCGGUGGCGAAGGCGGCAUCCUGGACCGACAUUGACGCUGAGGAGCGAAAGCUAGGGGAGCAAACGGG